CCUACGGGUGGCAGCAGUAGGGAAUAUUGCACAAUGGGGGCAACCCUGAAGCAGCCACGCCGCGUGUAGGAUGAAGGCUUUCGGAUUGUAAACUACUUUCGUCGGGGAAGAAGAUAGUAGAGUUUAACGAUUAAGCACUGGCCAACUCCGGGCCAGCAGCCGCGGUAAAACGGAGGGUGCAAGCGUUACUCGGAAUCACUGGGCGUAAAGAGCGCGUAGGCGGGAUAGCAAGUCAGAUGUGAAAUCCUAUGGCUUAACCAUAGAACUGCAUUUGAAACUGUUAAUCUAGAGUAUGGGAGAGGUAGGUGGAAUUCUUGGUGUAGGGGUAAAAUCCGUAGAGAUCAAGAGGAAUACUCAUUGCGAAGGCGACCUGCUAGAACAUAACUGACGCUGAUGCGCGAAAGCGUGGGGAGCAAACAGGAUUAGAUACCCCAGUAGUC
rnacentral:rRNA from 1 species